rnacentral:rRNA from 1 species
CACGUAGGGCGCAAGCGUUGUCCGGAAUUAUUGGGCGUAAAGAGCUCGUAGGCGGUCUGUUACGUCUGCUGUGAAAACCCAGGGCUUAACCCUGGGCUUGCAGUGGAUACGGGCAGACUAGAGGCAGGUAGGGGAGAAUGGAAUUCCCGGUGUAGCGGUGAAAUGCGCAGAUAUCGGGAAGAACACCGGUGGCGAAGGCGGCUCUCUGGGCCUGUCCUGACGCUCAGGCGCGAAAGCUAGGGGAGCGAACAGG